CGCACUGGACGAAGAUCGGAAGGUCUGAGUCCUGAGUGUUAGAUAAGAUAUAAGUCGUAACAUGGCUGCUGUUGGAGAACCAGCAGCAGGAUCAGUA
rnacentral:rRNA from 1 species